UACAGAGGUGGCAAGCGUUGUUCGGAAUUACUGGGCGUAAAGGGCGCGUAGGCGGCCUUCUAAGUCAGACGUGAAAUCCCCCGGCUUAACCUGGGGAACUGCGCCUGAUACUGGAUGGCUUGAGUUCGGGAGAGGAUGCGGAAUUCCAGGUGUAGCGGUGAAAUGCGUAGAUAGUCUGGAGGAACACCGGUGGCGAAGGCGGCAUCCUGGGACCGACACUGACACUGAGGAGCGAAAGCCAGGGGAGCAAACGGG
rnacentral:rRNA from 1 species